GGUCUCAGCGGCGCGAGAAACAGGAGGGAGAGCCGAGAGCAACAAUGGUGUCGUUGAAGCUUCAGAAGCGGCUCGCUGCGAGCGUUCUCAAGUGCGGAAGAGGAAAGGUGUGGCUCGACCCCAAUGAAGUCAACGAGAUCUACAUGGCCAAUUCCAGGCAAAACAUAAGAAAGCUGGUGAAGGAUGGUUUCAUAAUAAGGAAGCCAACAAAGAUCCACUCUCGGUCUCGUGCACGCCGAAUGAAGGAAGCCAAAAGGAAGGGACGCCACUCUGGAUAUGGUAAGCGCAAAGGUACUAGGGAGGCAAGGCUGCCUACUAAAGUUCUCUGGAUGAGGAGGAUGCGGGUCUUGAGACGCCUGCUGCGCAAGUACAGAGAAUCAAAGAAGAUUGACAAGCACAUGUACCAUGACAUGUACAUGAAGGUCAAAGGUAAUGUUUUUAAGAACAAAAGAGUGCUGAUGGAGACUAUUCACAAGUCAAAAGCUGAGAAGGCAAGAGAGAAGAUUCUGACAGAUCAGUUUGAAGCAAAGCGGGCUAAGAACAAGGCUAGCAGGGAGAGGAAGCUUGCUAGGAGAGAAGAGCGUUUAGCCCAGGGUCCAGGAGAGAGAGCUGUAGCAGCACCCGCCCCUCAACCGACUGAGGGAACUAAAAAAACCAAGAAGUGAGACAAAUCUUGCAGGGUACUUGUGAUUUGUGAAUUAGAUAUGAACAAAUAGUAUUUGCCAGUUCCACAACAUUAUGCACCAUUUUGUUACAGUUAGAAGAAGCUUUAUUCCAUGUGUCAAAUGGCAAGCCUUGGCCGCGUAUAUUUGUUAUCUCACGCCUUGGAUGUGCAAACUGGCAUUGGGCCAUUGAUACACAUUAUCCAAAUGUGAGCUCAGGCUUUGAUUGGCCUUGGAUUGGAUGAUGUUUACGAUCAUGGAAUAUCGUUAAUAAUCAUCAAAAAGGGUUCAAAAGAUUCAAGAUGAGGUCAUGUGAAGUAGGGUGAUAUUGAUUUUUAAUUCAGAACCAUGCAAGGUAUGUUUCAUGAUUCCGAGUUUGAGUUGAUAGACUUUUUGAAGCUUCACCAAUUUCUUGACACAAGGAUGGAUAAGGGCUGCCAGGUGCAAUCUUGCUUUGGUGGGAGAGACUGGUAUUGUGUUGCGAAGUUAUUUAAUUCGUUACUGAUGUUUGGUGUUUUCUUGAAUGUUUAUAGACUCUUGUUGUAAUUCUGCCAAUAAAAAAACUAAAAUCAAAUCAGAGGAUCUUUCCUCGCUCGGUGAUUGAGAAA